GGCCCAUUAGCUUAGUUGGUUAGAGCGUCGUGCUAAUAACGCAAGGGUCGCGGGAUCGAUCCCCUCAUGGGACG
rnacentral:tRNA from 1 species